GAAAGCACAAUAAGUUAAAUCAUGUCCACUAGGAUAGGAUGUGGAGUCCUGUCUUGCAUGCUGAUGUGAAAUGCCAUGAUGAGUUGCAUGUGCCUUAGUGAUAUGUUUGAUAUGUGUUAAGGAUUCAUGUGUUUUCACAUGGAUCAUUUGAUGAUAUUGUGUGUGCUGUUGUGCUUUUUCAGAGGCAGGAUGAGAGGAACUCGUCGAUCUGCUAGAUUGACAGGAGCUCCGCCGGAGGAUGAGGACAUGGAUGCUCAUCUCCCCGUUCUGCAAAGGGCAACAUCAGAGAGUAUAAGCAGAG
rnacentral:lncRNA from 1 species